rnacentral:rRNA from 1 species
GACGAACGCUGGCGGCGUGCCUAAUACAUGCAAGUAGGACGCAGUUGCGAACGGGUGAGUAACGCGUAGGUAACUACCUAUUAGAGGGGGAUAACUAUUGGAAACGAUAGCUAAUACCGCAUACUAGUAGAUGGACCUGCGUUGUAUUAGCUAGUAGGUAGGGUAAUGGCCUACCAAGGCAACGAUACAUAGCCGACCUUGAGAGGUGAACGGCCACACUGGGACUGAGGACCGGCCCCGACUCCCACGGGAGGCAACAGUAGGGAAUCUUCGGCAAUGGGGGGAACCCUGACCGAGCAACGCCGCGUGAGUGAAGAAGGUUUUCGGAUCGUAAAGCUCUGUUGGUAAGGAAGCGGUACUUAACCAGAAAGGGACGGCUAACUACGUGCCAGCCGCCGCGGUAAUAC